UGAAGAGGAGAUAUUCUUUUCCCUUGGGGAAGAGAUUUUACCAAGGUAAAUUAUGAAGAAGAAAAACUAUAAAUACCAGCUGCUGUCACUGCCAGAAGCUGAUCUCCGUAAAUGUGUGCAGUGAUAGAGAAAAGAGAACACAAGCUUUGGGCCAGCAGAUGGUGUAGCAGAUGUGCUUUCGUCCACCAAUGUCUCUUAAAAUGUCUCCAGGUCUAGAAUAUGAGAACGAAGAGGGUAGAGGGAGCAGAAGACAGAAGAUUCUGGUUUUGCAGAAAAGUUACGAAAGAGUUGAAGGCCACUACAAGUUGGGGGAUGAGGGGACUUCAGUAUCAGCUCAGCUUCCAGAGGAGCUGAUGACUAAAAUCAGCUCCAUGAUCAAUCAAUCAUGUCUAAGUGACUGAACCCCAAUAAAAACUCUGAUCACCAAAACUCAGCUGGAACCAUGGAGGACAUUCAAGAGAAGAAA